UCCCUUGCCUCCCUCACUGCCUUGGGGGUCCUGUUCGAGCUUCCUCCUUUGCCUGACUCCGUUGACAUUGGAGAAUGUGAUCCCCAUUCUCUUGCUAGUAUAUUCGCUUCUGGCCGUAUUUCGGGAGAUGCCCUGCUUCAUUGCUUCCAUGACAACUAUUGCUUGUGUUUUCCUGCUUGCUUCCCAAUAUUUCUCAUCUGCGUGCCUCUGCUUAAGCUGGGUACUCCCUCCAGUGACCUGAGUGACUUGUAUUCUUUAAGACUAAGCUCAGCUGCAGCUUCCUCCAAAAUGCCUCCUCCUGCUCUUCAAGGUGUUUCUCUCCUUGCCCUGAAAAACACUCAGCAUUGUGUCUAUUACGUAAGAUUGUAUUGCCAUUAUCUACACCUGCCACACCCACCUGUGUUCUUUGAGGGCAGGUGGUUUCACACUCUGAGAGAUCCAGAGUCCAGCACAAUGCCAAGCCCACAGAAGGGAGAACUUGUCCACCUGUGGGAAAGAAGAAAGAACUUCUUCCACUUCCUGGGAAGAUAACAGGAGACUUCCAAGCAUUUCCUGGUCCUCAGGAAGACUGUGGCUCUGGUUGGCAACAACAACCAGGAGAAAGCAGAAGCCCAGAGCCCAGACACCAGCACUGGGGGUCUCAGGGAGGCUGCAGCUCCAGGGCUGGGGAACACGGGAGCUCUGGGCUCACUGCAGGGAGAGAGACUCUUACAGGUCAAAGAGGACCAGAGCCUCCACGGUUCUUCCUGUUGGACGCGACCAUUCUUUGAGCAGAGAUUGCAGCAAAGGCAAAGCAGGAACAGCACCGACACCGGGCCGAGCCCACGAGGCAGUCUGGGUGAUGAGCAACACCCCACACUGGUUUAGGCACGAGAGGAAACGCAUUGAGUCAGGUGACCAGGAAGAUCAAACUCACCUUUGGCCCAGCUGGACCCAUGGGCUGAAUAAAGUCAACAAACCUAAGUUUGUUUUUGUUCAUUUUUUCUCUACUUUUCAAGUUUGCUUUUUUUUUUUUCUGAAUUUACUUCCUGACAAGCAAACACUCCCCAUGAAUUGUCGAAGAGAACUCUGCCAGUUCUCAUUAGUGACUCCAGCGAUGAAAAGAAUCCUUUCCCUAGAGUUCAUGCACAAUCCCUGGGUCCUUCGUUUGGCCCUGUUUGGCUCCAAGCACAUCCCAAGUGCAGCCCCGGCGUCAGGGGAUGCAGUGCUCUGAGGGGCCCAGCCUGGGUCAGUCCCUUCCCUGGCCCUGCCCCACCCCCAUAUGAGAAGCGCCUGCCGUAAAGCUGCAACCCAAACUGGCAGAGCAAGAGGGAAACUUAGAAAUGAUCUCGGUGACUUCCCUCAUUUUAGGUUAUUAAUGUGAGAAAGGGGCAAUGCUGUGAACAUUUUAUAUACUUACUGGUUACAAUUUAAAGAAUUAAAAGAAGGGAAAGAUGAAAAUAAAAACCCCACAUAAUCCCCUAAAAUGUACA
rnacentral:lncRNA from 13 species